AUGAAAGGUAAUGAUUUCAAGAAUACUGAAACAUUCAAGCAUAUUCCAACAUGUAAUUAUUGUAAAAAGAAGGGUCACAUUAAGUCAGAAUGUUGGACAUUAUAGAAGAAAAGGCCUGUUAAUACUGACACCCAGCCUAGUCCUAGUGCCCUUACAUCUGUGACAGAUGUUCCUACUAAAACGACUCUUGUAUACCAUGAUGUAGAUGUUGGAGAUGUAUCUCCCAUAAAACAACAUCCCUAUAGAAUGAACCCCUUGAAACAAGUACACUGUCGUGCAGAACUGGCAUAUAUGAUGGAACAUGAUAUUAUUGAGCAUAGUAAUAGCCCUUGGAGCUCUCCUUGUCUUCUUGUUCCAAAACCAGAUGGUUCAUUUCGGUUUUGUACAGACUUUCGUAGGGUCAAUACAAUUACUAAAACAGACUCGUAUCCCAUUCCAAGGAUUGAAGACUGCAUCGAUAAGAUAGGAUGUGCGAAGUAUGUGAGUAAGUUUGACCUUCUCAAAGGGUAUUGGCAGGUUCCCCUAACAGAGAGAGCAAAAGAAAUUUCUGCUUUUGUCACUUCAGAUGGUUUUUACCAAUAUAAGGUGAUGCCAUUUGGGAUGAAGAAUGCACCUGCAACCUUUCAAAGAUCAAUCAUUUAUUGUGUAAAUUAGAUCACUGUGAAGCUUAUAUUGAUGAUGUGAUAGUGCAUAGCAAUACUUUUGAAGAACAUUUGUCACAUAUUAGGGCCUUGUUUGUGAAAUUAUCAGAUGCAAACUUGACUGUUAGUCUUGUUAAAAGUGAAUUUUGUCAUGCAGUUGUCGAGUAUUUGGGCCAUAUUGUUGGUAAUGGCCAUGUGAAGCCUGUCCUAGCUAAGGUUGAUGCGAUUACAAAUUUCCCUGUACCACAAUGUAAGAGAGAACUCAUGAGAUUCCUGGGAAUGGCUGGAUACUAUAGGAAGUUCUGUCCAAACUUCUUAACCAUUGCGAAUCCAUUGACAUGUCUUUUAAAAAAGAAUAGUCAGUUUAAAUGGAAUGAAACAUGCCAACAGGCUUUUGAACAAAUAAAAGCCAUUCUCAUGGUCUCUCCAGUUCUUUCAUCUCCCAAUUUUGAUAAAGAAUUUGUUAUGCAUAUUGAUGCUAGUGAUGUAGGAUGUGGUGCUGUGUUAUUACAGGAAGAUGAAAAUUUUGUUUGCCAUCCUGUUGCUUAUUUUUCUAAAAAGUUCUCAAAAUGUCAAAGAAACUACUCUACCAUAGAAAAAGAGUGUUUGUCUAUGUUAUUGGCACUGCAACAUUUUGAUGUCUAUUUAUAUUCAUCUGCACAUCCAGUUGUUGUAUUUACUGACCAUAAUCCUCUUACCUUUGUACACAAAAUGAGAAACAAGAAUCAGAGAUUAAUGAGGUGGAGUUUAGAGUUGCAAGAACAUAACAUUGUCAUUAGGCAUAUCAAAGGUAGAAAAAAUAUCAUUGCAGACGCAUUGUCGAGAGUACCUGUAGAGUGAUAUGUUAUGAUUUUUUAUCUGAUUUUGUUGAAUUUUAUGUGAAUUAAUGGUAUGUGCAUUGGUUAUUGUGUAAAAGUUUUCAUAUACACUCAAACUGUUCUUUAAGGGAGGAGGUGUUACGAUAUUUGGUUAUAUAUUUAAACUGUUGCAUCAGCUGUUUUGUUUUUGUGUAUCUGUGACGUCACUUGGAAAGCUUCGUGUGUGAUCGGAUGACGGGACGGGUGGAGCGCGUGAUCGUCUGCAGGAGUAGUGUUGUGGCUGGAGAAGAAGAUGGCAGUAAUCUCGGUAAAAUGGAAGCACUUCGUAAUCAGCCGGUCCGUGGAAGUGCCUGGCCCGAUCAUCUAGCUAGGAUCGCGCAUCUGUGUGAUAUGGAAAUCGUGUAAUUAACGCGUGUGCAAGGAUUCCUGAACUGAUUCACGGAGACGCUGAUCAUUAUAAACAAGUUGAGUAGAACUUUAGAUCUGUGUUGUGUACUUCUGUAUCAUUGUAUGUUUAUAUAUAUGUGAUUAAUUAUGUAGAAUUAAAAUUUGUAAAAGUUUCAAA